UUUUAGACAUCGUAUGGCCAUCGCGCCAUCAUCGUAAUCCAUCGUGUAGCCUUCGUAAUCCAUCGUGUAGCCUUCGUGAUCCAUCGUGAAGGCUUCGGCUGAGAUAUGAAGCUUAAAUACCCGUCUUCGGUUAACCUUCGUAUGUCCAUCUUUUGCUAUCGUAUAUAAUUUCGACACCAUCGUAUAGACUUCGUUAUUCAUCGUACUUGCUUCGGUCACUUUUUGGUAUUUUAACGAGAUCGGGACCAACUUCGUACGAACUUACAAUUUUCGCAUUCGGGUGUCCAUCGUAUAUAAAAAUCGGGACAGUGUGACGCGG
rnacentral:lncRNA from 1 species